CUGUGGUAAUUCUAGAGCUAAUACAUGCAGGAGGAGCGCAUUUAUUAGACCAAGACCAAAUCUGGUGACUCUGAAUAACUCACAGUCCUAGAACUGGUGACAUAUCUUUCAAGUGUCUGCCCUAUCAACUUUCGAUGGUAGUUUAUGUGCCUACCAUGGUGGUAACGGGUAACGGAGAAUAAGGGUUCGACUCCGGAGAGGGAGCCUGAGAAAUGGCUACCACAUCCAAGGAAGGCAGCAGGCGCGCAAAUUACCCACUCUCAGUGAGGAGGUAGUGACGAAAAAUAACAAGACAGCUCUCUAUGUCAUUGGAAUGGGUACAAUUUAAACCCUUUAACGAGGAUCUAUUGGAGGGCAAGUCUGGUGCCAGCAGCCGCGGUAAUUCCAGCUCCAAUAGCAUAUACCAAUUCUGUUGCUGUUAAAAAGCUCCUAGUUGGAUCGCAAAGGUUGAGUCAAUCUAAUGGAUUUGUCGCUGGUUUUCCCAUGGUGCCUCUAACAGGGUGCUGUGGGUGGCUAGCAAAUUUACUUUGAAAAAAUUAGAGUGCUUAGAACAGGCGUUUUCCUGAAUACUGGUGCAUGGAAUAAUGGAAUAGGAGGUUCUAUUUUGUUGGUUUUAGGAGCAUGAGAUAAUGAUUAAGAGGGACAGACGGGGGCAUCUGUAUUGUGGCGUUAGAGGUGAAAUUCUUGGA
rnacentral:rRNA from 1 species